rnacentral:rRNA from 1 species
AGCGUACACGGUGGAUGCCCUGGCAGUCAGAGGCGAUGAAGGACGUGCUAAUCUGCGAUAAGCGUCGGUAAGGUGAUAUGAACCGUUAUAACCGGCGAUUUCCGAAUGGGGAAACCCAGUGUGAUUCGUCACACUAUCAUUAACUGAAUCCAUAGGUUAAUGAGGCGAACCGGGGGAACUGAAACAUCUAAGUACCCCGAGGAAAAGAAAUCAACCGAGAUUCCCCCAGUAGCGGCGAGCGAACGGGGAGCAGCCCAGAGCCUGAAUCAGUGUGUGUGUUAGUGGAAGCGUCUGGAAAGGCGCGCGAUACAGGGUGACAGCCCCGUACACAAAAAUGCACAUACUGUGAGCUCGAUGAGUAGGGCGGGACACGUGGUAUCCUGUCUGAAUAUGGGGGGACCAUCCUCCAAGGCUAAAUACUCCUGACUGACCGAUAGUGAACCAGUACCGUGAGGGAAAGGCGAAAAGAACCCCGGCGAGGGGAGUGAAAAAGAACCUGAAACCGUGUACGUACAAGCAGUGGGAGCACGCUUCGGCGUGUGACUGCGUACCUUUUGUAUAAUGGGUCAGCGACUUAUAUUCUGUAGCAAGGUUAACCGAAUAGGGGAGCCGAAGGGAAACCGAGUCUUAACUGGGCGUUAAGUUGCAGGGUAUAGACCCGAAACCCGGUGAUCUAGCCAUGGGCAGGUUGAAGGUUGGGUAACACUAACUGGAGGACCGAACCGACUAAUGUUGAAAAAUUAGCGGAUGACUUGUGGCUGGGGGUGAAAGGCCAAUCAAACCGGGAGAUAGCUGGUUCUCCCCGAAAGCUAUUUAGGUAGCGCCUCGUGAAUUCAUCUCCGGGGGUAGAGCACUGUUUCGGCAAGGGGGUCAUCCCGACUUACCAACCCGAUGCAAACUGCGAAUACCGGAGAAUGUUAUCACGGGAGACACACGGCGGGUGCUAACGUCCGUCGUGAAGAGGGAAACAACCCAGACCGCCAGCUAAGGUCCCAAAGUCAUGGUUAAGUGGGAAACGAUGUGGGAAGGCCCAGACAGCCAGGAUGUUGGCUUAGAAGCAGCCAUCAUUUAAAGAAAGCGUAAUAGCUCACUGGUCGAGUCGGCCUGCGCGGAAGAUGUAACGGGGCUAAACCAUGCACCGAAGCUGCGGCAGCGACACUAUGUGUUGUUGGGUAGGGGAGCGUUCUGUAAGCCUGUGAAGGUGUGCUGUGAGGUAUGCUGGAGGUAUCAGAAGUGCGAAUGCUGACAUAAGUAACGAUAAAGCGGGUGAAAAGCCCGCUCGCCGGAAGACCAAGGGUUCCUGUCCAACGUUAAUCGGGGCAGGGUGAGUCGACCCCUAAGGCGAGGCCGAAAGGCGUAGUCGAUGGGAAACAGGUUAAUAUUCCUGUACUUGGUGUUACUGCGAAGGGGGGACGGAGAAGGCUAUGUUGGCCGGGCGACGGUUGUCCCGGUUUAAGCGUGUAGGCUGGUUUUCCAGGCAAAUCCGGAAAAUCAAGGCUGAGGCGUGAUGACGAGGCACUACGGUGCUGAAGCAACAAAUGCCCUGCUUCCAGGAAAAGCCUCUAAGCAUCAGGUAACAUCAAAUCGUACCCCAAACCGACACAGGUGGUCAGGUAGAGAAUACCAAGGCGCUUGAGAGAACUCGGGUGAAGGAACUAGGCAAAAUGGUGCCGUAACUUCGGGAGAAGGCACGCUGAUAUGUAGGUGAAGUCCCUUGCGGAUGGAGCUGAAAUCAGUCGAAGAUACCAGCUGGCUGCAACUGUUUAUUAAAAACACAGCACUGUGCAAACACGAAAGUGGACGUAUACGGUGUGACGCCUGCCCGGUGCCGGAAGGUUAAUUGAUGGGGUUAGCGGUAACGCGAAGCUCUUGAUCGAAGCCCCGGUAAACGGCGGCCGUAACUAUAACGGUCCUAAGGUAGCGAAAUUCCUUGUCGGGUAAGUUCCGACCUGCACGAAUGGCGUAAUGAUGGCCAGGCUGUCUCCACCCGAGACUCAGUGAAAUUGAACUCGCUGUGAAGAUGCAGUGUACCCGCGGCAAGACGGAAAGACCCCGUGAACCUUUACUAUAGCUUGACACUGAACAUUGAGCCUUGAUGUGUAGGAUAGGUGGGAGGCUUUGAAGUGUGGACGCCAGUCUGCAUGGAGCCGACCUUGAAAUACCACCCUUUAAUGUUUGAUGUUCUAACGUUGGCCCCUGAUCGGGGUUGCGGACAGUGUCUGGUGGGUAGUUUGACUGGGGCGGUCUCCUCCUAAAGAGUAACGGAGGAGCACGAAGGUUGGCUAAUCCUGGUCGGACAUCAGGAGGUUAGUGCAAUGGCAUAAGCCAGCUUGACUGCGAGCGUGACGGCGCGAGCAGGUGCGAAAGCAGGUCAUAGUGAUCCGGUGGUUCUGAAUGGAAGGGCCAUCGCUCAACGGAUAAAAGGUACUCCGGGGAUAACAGGCUGAUACCGCCCAAGAGUUCAUAUCGACGGCGGUGUUUGGCACCUCGAUGUCGGCUCAUCACAUCCUGGGGCUGAAGUAGGUCCCAAGGGUAUGGCUGUUCGCCAUUUAAAGUGGUACGCGAGCUGGGUUUAGAACGUCGUGAGACAGUUCGGUCCCUAUCUGCCGUGGGCGCUGGAGAACUGAGGGGGGCUGCUCCUAGUACGAGAGGACCGGAGUGGACGCAUCACUGGUGUUCGGGUUGUCAUGCCAAUGGCACUGCCCGGUAGCUAAAUGCGGAAGAGAUAAGUGCUGAAAGCAUCUAAGCACGAAACUUGCCCCGAGAUGAGUUCU